rnacentral:lncRNA from 1 species
CAGUGAAACAUGAUAUAUAAUUCUUUUUAUGCAUUGUUGAAUUUGUUUUGCUAAUAUUUUGUUGAGGAUUUUUGCAACCAUGUCCAUGAGAAGCAUUGGUCUGCAGUUUUCUUUUAUUGGAAUGCCUCUGUCUGGUGUUGAUGUUAGGGUAAUCUGGGCAUAUCUUGUUAGGAAGAAUGAAAUGCUCUGCAAAAAUGGUUCCUUUUCCCCUCCCCAAGCUGGAAGCAUGAGGGUGUUCUUCUCCAAUAUUCCUUGUGAGAACCUAGUGAAGCGCUAGGAAGUAAAACUCACAAUGUAUAGACACCUGAUGAUUGAGUCCUCUUGGAGUAAAACUAAUGUAAUGAAUGGGCCCCCUGAUGACUGAGAUCUCUUGGGGCACACUGAGCCCCCAGCAGUUCAUCAGUUACAGCUCUGCUUUCCCUACUCCUGCUCUGGAACUUUGUGCUUGUGGGUUUCUGCUCUGGUACCAUGACUUUCUGUAGUUCCCUGUAUGUGUCUCCAAUCUUGGGAGCAGCAAAUAGUCCUGUGACCCCCACCUCUCUGAAUGAUUUAAGAAGAGUUGAUCUUUCAGUUCGUGUAGCUUUCUCGUAGGACAGAGUGGUGACUUCCAGCUUCUUACAUGCUGAACAGGAAACCAGAAGACUACCUUACUAUUCUUUUUAAAACAAUAAUCUGUAUAAACCAGAAAAUAGAACCAUCACGUUUGCAAAGAAUCCUGAUUUGUAUUCUCCUGCAAAGGAGAAGCCUGCAUGCCCCUCCUCUGGUCACUUUCCUGUGCUGUGUAUGAGGGCAGUUCACGAGAUGAGGCUGAGUGCUCCCAGUCCUGGGAAUAUGUCUGGAAAUCGGCUGCCAAGUCUAGUCUGAGAAUUCACACUUUCUUUGGGGACAGGUUAAAAAUGGAUCUGUACAUGGACUGAUGACUGUUGCAGGCUUGCUAUGUGGGAAACAAAAUUAACAAACUCUUGGGAACUUGUUAAAUUUUAUGUUGGUAUUCUGUUCACAUCUGGAAUUGAACAGGAGAGUGCUGACCAGGCUGAAGGAUGGCUGAGAAAGAAAGCUCAAGAGAGGGGAGAAGAAUAAAAGGGAACUACAUAGGUUAAAGGACACUUUGAAUCAUUCCUUAGAGAUUAUCAAGUAUAUUCUCUUGACUCUUAAAAUGGAAGGAAAGGAAGGGGAAGGGAGAAGGAAAGGGAGAGGGAGGAAGAGAGGAAGGGAGGGAGGGAAGGAAAGGAGGGAAGAGAAGGGAAGGGGGGAGGGAGGGAGGAAGAGAGGAAGGCAGGGAGUGAAGGAAGGGAA